rnacentral:rRNA from 1 species
GACGAACGCUGGCGGCGUGCCUAAUACAUACAAGUCGAGCGAAGUUUUUCUGGUGCUUGCACUAGAAAAACUUAGCGGCGAACGGGUGAGUAACACGUAAAGAACCUGCCUCAUAGACUGGGACAACUAUUGGAAACGAUAGCUAAUACCGGAUAACAGCAUUAACUGCAUGGUUGAUGUUUAAAAGUUGGUUUUGCUAACACUAUGAGAUGGCUUUGCGGUGCAUUAGCUAGUUGGUGGGGUAAAGGCCUACCAAGGCGACGAUGCAUAGCCGACCUGAGAGGGUGAUCGGCCACACUGGGACUGAGACACGGCCCAGACUCCUACGGGAGGCAGCAGUAGGGAAUCUUCCGCAAUGGGCGAAAGCCUGACGGAGCAACGCCGCGUGAGUGAAGAAGGAUUUCGGUUCGUAAAGCUCUGUUGUUAGGGAAGAAUGAUUGUGUAGUAACUAUACACAGUAGAGACGGUACCUAACCAGAAAGCCACGGCUAACUACGUG